rnacentral:rRNA from 1 species
AUACGGAGGGUGCGAGCGUUAAUCGGAAUUACUGGGCGUAAAGCGUACGUAGGCGGUUGGUUAAGUUAGAUGUGAAAGCCCCGGGCUUAACCUGGGAACUGCAUUUAAAACUGGCGAACUAGAGUUGAGUAGAGGGGAGUGGAAUUUCAGGUGUAGCGGUGAAAUGCGUAGAGAUCUGAAGGAACACCAGUGGCGAAGGCGACUCACUGGACUCGAACUGACGCUGAGGUACGAAAGCGUGGGUAGCAAACGGGAUUAGAAACCCCAGUAGUCC